UACAGGGGGUGCAAACGUUGCUCGGAAUUAUUGGGCGUAAAGCGCGCGUAGGCGGCUACUUAAGUCGGAUGUGAAAGCCCUUGGCUCAACUGAGGAAGUGCACCCGAAACUGAGUGGCUUGAGUACUAAAGAGGGUCGCGGAAUUCCCGGUGUAGAGGUGAAAUUCGUAGAUAUCUGGAGGAACACCGGUGGCGAAGGCGGCAUCCUGGACCGGCAUUGACGCUGAGGCGCGAAAGCCAGGGGAGCAAACGGG
rnacentral:rRNA from 1 species